rnacentral:lncRNA from 10 species
UACGGGCAUGUGCUAUCACACCCAACCUGAUACAUUGCCUUUAUAAAUUUUUUUUUCUUUAUUCUAAAAACCAGAAAAAACAAAACUGGAUACAUGUGCAGAACAUGCAGACCAAGUGUGUUGGGGACUUGAGAUGCGUACAUGAGUGUGAUGUUUCCUGCUGAAAGCACAGGUGAGACGUGGUCUUGUAACACAGUGGUUAAGAAUGUGACUUUGGAGCCAGCCUGCUAGGGGCUGAAUUCUGACUCAGCCAUUUACUAACUGUGUGACCUUAGUCUGUCUAGUGACUGGUGUUGUCAUAAGAAGAGAGGGACACAGAGGGAAGAUGGCCACAUGAAGAUGGAGGCAGAGAUUGCAGUUAUGCUGCUGCAAACUAAGGAAUGGCUCUGGCCCUCCAAGGAUUGCUGAUAACCACCAGAAACUAGAAGAGACAAGGAAGGAUUCUUCCCUAGAGCCUUCAGAGGGAGCAUGGCCCUACUGACACCUGGAUUUCAAACUUGUAGCUUCCUAAACUGCAAGAGAAUAAAUUUCUGUUGUUUUAA